GACGUGGGGCGCGAGCGUUGUCCGGAUUUAUUGGGCGUAAAGAGCUCGUAGGCGGCUUGUUGCGUCGACUGUGAAAACCCGCGGCUUAACUGCGGGCUUGCAGUUGAUACGGGCAGGCUAGAGUUCGGUAGGGGAGACUGGAAUUCCUGGUGUAGCGGUGAAAUGCGCAGAUAUCAGGAGGAACACCGGUGGCGAAGGCGGGUCUCUGGGCCGAUACUGACGCUGAGGAGCGAAAGCGUGGGGAGCGAACAGG
rnacentral:rRNA from 1 species